rnacentral:pre_miRNA from 1 species
AUGAUUCUGGUUUCAAUCCAGGCAAGUGUUUCUAUAUGUACAGAUAAUGUAGAAAAUCUUGUGUGGAUUGGAACCAGGGUCAU